rnacentral:rRNA from 1 species
CGAUACGGGACUCAUCCGAGGCCCCGUAAUCGGAAUGAGUACACUCUAAACCCUUUAACGAGGAUCAAUUGGAGGGCAAGUCUGGUGCCAGCAGCCGCGGUAACACCAGCUCCAAUAGCGUAUAUUAAAGUUGUUGCGGUUAAAAAGCUCGUAGUCGAAUUUGUGUCCCGCGCCGCCGGUUCAUCGCUCGCGGUGUUAACUGGCGUGUCCGCGGGACGUCCUGCCGGUGGGCUUAGCUCUCGGGCGGCCCAAUCUCAAUCCCACCGCGGUGCUCUUCACUGAGUGUCGAGGUGGGCCGGCACGUUUACUUUGAACAAAUUAGAGUGCUUAAAGCAGGCUAAAACGUCGCCUGAAUACUGUGUGCAUGGAAUAAUGGAAUAGGACCUCGGUUCUAUUUUGUUGGUUUUCGGAACCCCGAGGUAAUGAUUAAUAGGAACGGAUGGGGGCAUUCGUAUUGCGACGUUAGAGGUGAAAUUCUUGGAUCGUCGCAAGACGGACAGAAGCGAAAGCAUUUGCCAAAAACGUUUUCAUUGAUCAAGAACGAAAGUUAGAGGUUCGAAGGCGAUCAGAUACCGCCCUAGUUCUAACCAUAAACGAUGCCAGCUAGCGAUCCGCCGACGUUCCUCCGAUGACUCGGCGGGCAGCUUCCGGGAAACCAAAGCUUUUGGGAUCCGGGGGAAGUAUGGUUGCAAAGCUGAAACUUAAAGGAAUUGACGGAAGGGCACCACCAGGAGUGGAGCCUGCGGCUUAAUUUGACUCAACACGGGAAACCUCACCAGGCCCGGACACCGGAAGGAUUGACAGAUUGAGAG